ensembl:lncRNA
CUUGAACUCCGGGUCCUGUGUUAAAUAACCUGGAAGUGCGUAUGUUCUGGCGCCACUGAACGUCUCCCAAUGGCCUAUCUUUAACAAUGGAAUGCAGUCAACAACCUUGAGGAAUUUCCAGCUGAAAGUCUCCCGACGUGAUAAGGAUCUGACCGGCUGGGCGAGAUAUGCGUGGAGGAAGAGUUUAUAUCUCCCGCAUCUUGCACCUGCUCAAGUAGUUGUCGCAACGAGGCAAAGCCAUAACCGGGAACCGUCGACAUCAAGAAACUGGGUGGCAGGUCCAAACCAAAGCUCUCAAAGAAGAAGCUUUUAGUGUCUGACUCAUGAACAGUGCAGUUGAAACUCUACCCAUUUCUCUUGAGGGUCCAAUAGGCUCAGUGAGAAGCCUAUUAUGCUGCUGAUUGGCUAGAGGGGUGAGACAGGGGACGCCCGCUCAUUUCUGCCUGAGGGGGUCUUGACAUUGAGUCUAAACUAAGCUCUGCUCCAAAGAGGAUGGGCCUCAGACCAACUCUGUCUUGCUGUGAAUCGCCACCCCCUUGACCCAGACUGAGGAGAUGAGAAGAGGAUUGGAUCAUGUUAGCAAGGCCAGGACUUAAAUACUGUAUCAAGCCACUAGCAGUUAUUUAAACAGUGAAAUAUAUGGUCAAUCUAAAUACAGGUGACUGGAUUUGAAGCAUCUGGGUUUUUUUGGUUUCCCCAAUAGUUACAAUCAGCUUUUUAGCCCUGACCACUUAAUUUUGU